rnacentral:RNase_P_RNA from 1 species
GCGGAUGGCCGGAUGACCGCGGCGAAAGCCGAGGAAAGUCCGGGCUCCAUCAAGGCACGGUGCCGGGUAACGCCCGGCGGGGGCAACCCCAGGGACAGCGCCACAGAGAACAGACCGCCCCGGUUCGCCGGGGUAAGGGUGAAACGGUGGGGUAAAAGCCCACCGGGGGGCUGGCAACAGUCCUCGCAUGGCAAGCCCCACCGGGAGCAAUGCCGAAUAGGGACCGCGUGUCGCAAGACGGGGGCGCCUUGCCCUCAGCUGGUCCGGGUUGGCAGCUAAAGCCCGUCGGUAACGGCGGGACAAGAUGAAUGGUCAUCGAAGGGGGCAACCCCGGAACAGAACCCGGCUUACAGGCCAUCCGCGCAA